AAGGUUUCCGUAGGUGAACCUGC
rnacentral:ncRNA from 5 species